rnacentral:rRNA from 1 species
AAACACGACCGUUGCACGCGUGACAGAAAGCUGCCGGGGAGGCGCUCGCCGCCUCCCCGGCCCCACCGGCCUCUACCCUCUCGCCCUCCGGGCGUGUCGGUCGCUGGCCGGAAUACGGCGCGGGAUGACGCCAAGGAACACGAGAAAGCUGAGGCGCCGGCGAGCCGCUCGAGGUCUGCGCCGGUUGCUGAGGCCAAUGAAAAAAAAAUAUGACUCUCGGCAACGGAUAUCUCGGCUCUCGCAUCGAUGAAGAACGUAGCGAAAUGCGAUACGUGGUGUGAAUUGCAGAAUCCCGUGAACCAUCGAGUCUUUGAACGCAAGUUGCGCCCGAGGGACCCUCCCGAGGGCACGCCUGCCUCAUGGGCGUUAGAAGCCCAUCCACGCUCGGCUGCCUCACGGCAGAGAUGCGGACAUUGGCCCUCCGAACCGCGAGGUGCGGUGGGCCUAAGUGUGCGGCCGUCGUACGUGGCCGGGAGCGGCGAGUGGUGGGCUACUGCGCACGUCACCCCGAGCCCCGUGCCGACACAGGGCCUUGUUUGACCCCCUAACGAGGAGCACGCCGCCGCGGCUCGCGCUGCGCGGCGCCUUCGGACC